rnacentral:rRNA from 1 species
UACAGAGGGUGCAAGCGUUAAUCGGAAUUAUUGGGCGUAAAGCGCACGUAGGCGGCUCCGCAAGUCGGAUGUGAAAUCCCUCGGCUCAACCAAGGAAGUGCAUCCGAAACUGCAGAGCUUGAGUACCAAAGAGGAUCGCGGAAUUCCCGGUGUAGAGGUGAAAUUCGUAGAUAUCGGGAGGAACACCAGUGGCGAAGGCGGCGAUCUGGGUGGAUACUGACGCUGAGGUGCG